rnacentral:lncRNA from 1 species
UUAUUUAUGCUUUUAUGUUUAAAUGAUUUCGCCUUCAUGUUUCGUUAUUGAAAUACCUUCGUUGUAUAGCUCUUAUGUGAUUUUAAAUUAAUUAAGAUGUUUUGAUAGAUUAUUGUUAAGAUAUGAGUUUUUCAUAAUCCAUGUUUGCUCAAAUAAAUUUUGAUGGGUUAUAGUUAAUCCUUAAAUAUUCAUAAUCUAUGUUUGCCCACGUUAAUUGUAAAAUUACUAAAUUAAAGGGAAUGAAGAUCAAAAUCAUAGUUGAGUUAUAAAAAUAGAAGAGAUUGAAUUAUAUGUUGUGUUUAUUAUUUAAUGGAUUCGAAUUCCUAGAUUGUUUUCUCAUUAUUAUAAGUUUUCAUAUUCUAGUUAAUUAAUUCUCAAUCUUUAUUUCUAAUUCGCCUAAAAUAGAUAUUAAGGAAAUAUUAAAAUUAAUCUAGUCUCUGUGGAUUCGACCUGUACUUGCCAAUUCUUCAAUUUGACACUGUGCACUUGCAGUACAUAAUUUUAACACAUCAAGUUUUUUGGCGCUGUUGCCGGGGACUAGACUUAAUUUUAUAUUCCUUAAUUUUUAUUUAUUCGAAUAAGUUUUUUUUUUCUUCUAAUAUAUUUUUAUUUCUCAGGAUUAUCGAAUCGAAGCGAAUCAACGGUGCGAAAAGAUAAGAUUAUUGCUGCGUUUUUCCUAAUAUUUUGUAUCUUAACUCAAAAAUAAAAAAAUAAUAAAAAAACAAGUAGCUUAGUUUUUUGUUUUUUUUGGUUAGUUAGAAAACUAAUUGUCGCAUUCAUGCAUUCACUCACGUAGAGCACAUCCUGUUAGGUUUUUAUUUUUAUUUUUUGGUCAAAUAUAAACUGUGGUCAUUGCUGGAGGAUUAAGAUACAUCAAAAUUUCUCAUUCUUUCGUAAAUCACAUAGUUUUAGGACAUUUUAUUUGCUUAUAGUUUUUUUUUUAUUUGUACGUUCUCAUUUGUAAUCUAACAUUAAGUCACUACACCAAAAUAGGGAUGUAGCGAAGGAAAUUUUGUGAAGGAAUUUAUUCCUUCACAUGAGGAGUUGUUUAGCGAAGGAACAGUAAAAGAAAAAUAUUUAGUGACAAUAUAGAGAUGUAGCGAAGGAAAUUUUGUGAAGGAAUUUAUUCCUUCACAUGAGGAGUUGUUUAGCGAAGGAACAGUGAACGGAAAAUAUUUAGUGACAAUAUAGGGAUGUAGCGAAGGAAAAAUCCUUCACAAUUUUUAUUUUUUUUCUCGUAAAAUUGAGGUGAUAGAAGGAAUUUUUUGCACAAAUUUAUGAUAAAAUAUUGUGAGGAAAAAAUAUAUUAAUGAAGGAAUUAUUAUUCACUAUAUAUUAUUGUUCACAAGUUUUUUGCGAGAUAUAAAAUUAGUCGUUGUUUUGUUCUAAAUAUUUUUUUAGAAUUAAUUAUGAUG